CCUUCUCCUAGAGUAUUUGCGGGUGUGGCUGCCGUGUCUCAUGUGUAGGCAGCAGAGAGGAGAGAGGUUAAGUCUAUGCUCAGAGGUCUGAGCUGUGAACUUCUUAAUGAUUAGUAGCCUAAAAUU